GCAGCGANNUGCGAUACCUAGUGUGAAUUGCAGAAUUCCGCGAAUCAUCGAGUUUUUGAACGCAUAUUGCGCCCGAGGUUCACGCCGAGGGCACGUCUGUCUGAGCGUCA
rnacentral:rRNA from 1 species